GUUUAUUCAUCCUAUGGAGCCUCUCACAGCGAGCAUCUGGAGUUCAAAGACAAACUGACAGAACACAAAAACUGGAUGAUCACUUCUCCCCUUCAUCUCUCAUGGCACAGAGUGCAGAAUCAGCUGACUAGAUAAAUAUGCACAUUCUUGAAUGGCUGCAUCAUGACAGACAGGUUCACCGGGAAAGCUGGUGUGUUUUGUGAAGAAGGCAUUUGUGAACCAUUUGCACACAGAUCUGAGCACCCUGUUGGCCGCUCCUGAUGCUGCAGCUCUCUCAGUAACGUGGUGAACACUCAGGAGGAUGGUGUGACAGCAGGCAGGGCUGCCAGGUGACUGCACUACAGGCUCUGCUGUGCCACCUGGGCAGCCAGUCCCCUGCGAAGGUGACUGUCACAGCCCAAAGGCAGCACUCCACCUCUUCUUCAGCUCUGCCUGCUCAAGCAAGUGCUACUGACCCACUCUGCAGCAAAGGCCAGCAACCCACAGGUGCUGUGCUCUCAGCACCCCAGAGCCACAGACCACACAAUCCCAGCCUUGCUGAGGGAGUCCAGGUUCUAACCUAGGCAUUAGUUUUGGCAUGGGAACAACUGAGCAGAUCCCCUCCCAGCCCCUUGCAUAACAGAGCAUACAGAUCCCACGUGGGUAUGUGGGAAGCUCUGUGCUGCAGGAUUUUACU